rnacentral:rRNA from 1 species
AGUCGACGAUGAACCAUUUCGGUGGGGAUUAGUGGCGAACGGGUGAGUAACACGUGGGCAAUCUGCCCUUCACUCUGGGACAAGCCCUGGAAACGGGGUCUAAUACCGGAUAACACUCCUGCCCGCAUGGGCGGGGGUUGAAAGCUCCGGCGGUGAAGGAUGAGCCCGCGGCCUAUCAGCUUGUUGGUGGGGUAAUGGCCUACCAAGGCGACGACGGGUAGCCGGCCUGAGAGGGCGACCGGCCACACUGGGACUGAGACACGGCCCAGACUCCUACGGGAGGCAGCAGUGGGGAAUAUUGCACAAUGGGCGAAAGCCUGAUGCAGCGACGCCGCGUGAGGGAUGACGGCCUUCGGGUUGUAAACCUCUUUCAGCAGGGAAGAAGCGAAAGUGACGGUACCUGCAGAAGAAGCGCCGGCUAACUACGUGCCAGCAGCCGCGGUAAUACGUAGGGCGCAAGCGUUGUCCGGAAUUAUUGGGCGUAAAGAGCUCGUAGGCGGCUUGUCACGUCGGAUGUGAAAGCCCGGGGCUUAACCCCGGGUCUGCAUUCGAUACGGGCAGGCUAGAGUGUGGUAGGGGAGAUCGGAAUUCCUGGUGUAGCGGUGAAAUGCGCAGAUAUCAGGAGGAACACCGGUGGCGAAGGCGGAUCUCUGGGCCAUUACUGACGCUGAGGAGCGAAAGCGUGGGGAGCGAACAGGAUUAGAUACCCUGGUAGUCCACGCCGUAACGUUGGGAACUAGGUGUUGGCGACAUUCCACGUCGUCGGUGCCGCAGCUAA